rnacentral:rRNA from 12 species
ACCGCGACCCCAGGUCAGGC